rnacentral:rRNA from 1 species
AUUGAACGCUGGCGGAAUGCUUUACACAUGCAAGUCGAGCGGCAGCACGGGGGCAACCCUGGUGGCGAGCGGCGAACGGGUGAGUAAUACAUCGGAACAUGCCCAGUCGUGGGGGAUAACACUUCGAAAGAAGUGCUAAUACCGCAUACGUCCUGAGGGAGAAAGCGGGGGAUCUUCGGACCUCGCGCGAUUGGAGUGGCCGAUGUCAGAUUAGCUAGUUGGUGGGGUAAAGGCCUACCAAGGCAACGAUCUGUAGCUGGUCUGAGAGGAUGAUCAGCCAGACUGGGACUGAGACACGGCCCAGACUCCGACGGGAGGCAGCAGUGGGGAAUUUUGGACAAUGGGGGCAACCCUGAUCCAGCCAUUCCGCGUGAGUGAAAAAGGCCUUCGGGUUGUAAAGCUCUUUCGGCAGGAACGAAACGGCGAGCUCUAACAUAGCUUGCUAAUGACGGUACCUGAAGAAGAAGCACCGGCUAACUACGUGCCAGCAGCCGCGGUAACAC